rnacentral:rRNA from 1 species
GACGAACCGUGCAAACGUUGUUCGGAAUCACUGGGCUUAAAGGGCGCGUAGGCGGCAGACCAAGUCCGGGGUGAAAUCUUUCGGCUUAACCGGAAAAGGGCCUUGGAUACUGGUUUGCUCGAGGGAGGUAGGGGUCUGUGGAACUUCUGGUGGAGCGGUGAAAUGCGUUGAUAUCAGAAGGAACGCCGGUGGCGAAAGCGACGGACUGGAUCUCUUCUGACGCUGAGGCGCGAAAGCCAGGGGAGCAAACGGG